rnacentral:rRNA from 1 species
GAACAUACCUAUACGUUGCCUCGGCGGAUCAGCCCGCGCCCCGUAAAACGGGACGGCCCGCCGCAGGACCCACAAACCCUGAAUUUUAUUGUAACUUCUGAGUUUAAAAAACAAAUAAAUCAAAACUUUCAACAACGGAUCUCUUGGUUCUGGCAUCGAUGAAGAACGCAGCAAAAUGCGAUAAGUAAUGUGAAUUGCAGAAUUCAGUGAAUCAUCGAAUCUUUGAACGCACAUUGCGCCCGCCAGUAUUCUGGCGGGCAUGCCUGUUCGAGCGUCAUUUCAACCCUCAAGCCCCCGGGUUUGGUGUUGGGGAUCGGGCUGCGGUUCUACCGCGUCCCGGCCCCGAAAUCUAGUGGCGGUCUCGCUGCAGCCUCCAUUGCGUAGUAGCUAACACCUCGCAACUGGAACGCGGCGCGGCCAAGCCGUUAAACCCCCAACUUUCUGAAUGUUGACCUCGGAUCAGGUAGGAAUACC